UACGAAGGGUGCAAACGUUGCUCGGAAUUACUGGGCGUAAAGGGCGCGUAGGCGGCCUUCUAAGUCGGACGUGAAAGCCCCAGGCUUAACCUGGGAACUGCGUCCGAUACUGGGAGGCUUGGAUUCGGGAGAGGGAUGUGGAAUUCCAGGUGCAGCGGUGAAAUGCGUAGAUAUCUGGAGGAACACCGGUGGCGAAGGCGGCAUCCUGGACCGAGAUCGACGCUGAGGCGCGAAAGCUAGGGGAGCAAACGGG
rnacentral:rRNA from 1 species